rnacentral:tRNA from 1 species
GGUCCAUUAGUCUAGUGGUUAGGACACUGGAUUUUGAUUCCAGGAACGCCGGUUCGAGUCCGGCAUGGACCU